ACCUGGCUGGCUCAAUCGGAAAAGCAUGCGAUUCUUGAUCUUGGGGUCAUGAGUUUGAGCUCCACGUUGGGGAUAGAGUUUAUAUUAAAAAACAAAACGAAACAGGGGUGCCUGGCUGGCUCAUUCAGAGGAGCAUGUGACUCAAUCUCAGGGUUGUGAGUUCAAGCCCCACUUUGGGUG
rnacentral:tRNA from 1 species